UACGUAGGGCGCAAGCGUUAUCCGGAAUUAUUGGGCGUAAAGAGCUCGUAGGCGGUGUGUCACGUCGAUCGUGAAAACUUUCAGCUUAACUGGGAGCUUGCGGUCGAUACGGGCAUCACUGGAGUUCGGCAGGGAGACUGGAAUUCAAGGUGUAGCGGUGAAAUGCGCAGAUAUCUUGAGGAACACCGGUGGCGAAGGCGGUCUCUGGCCGAUACUGACGCUGAGGAGCGAAAGCUGGGAGCGAACAG
rnacentral:rRNA from 1 species